UGGGGAAUUUUGCACAAUGGGGGAAACCCUGAUGCAGCGACGCCGCGUGAUUUAGAAGGCCUUCGGGUUGUAAAAAUCUUUUCUAUGGGAAGAAAAUGACAGUACCAUAGGAAUAAGGACCGGCUAAUUACGUGCCAGCAGCCGCGGUAAUACGUAAGGUCCGAGCGUUGUCCGGAAUCAUUGGGCGUAAAGGGUACGUAGGCGGGUAAGCAAGUUAGAAGUGAAAUCCUAUAGCUCAACUAUAGUAAGCUUUUAAAACUGCUCAUCUUGAGGUAUGGAAGGGAAAGUGGAAUUCCUAGUGUAGCGGUGAAAUGCGCAGAUAUUAGGAGGAAUACCGGUGGCGAAGGCGACUUUCUGGCUAUAACCUGACGCUGAGGUACGAAAGCGUGGGUAGCAAACAGG
rnacentral:rRNA from 1 species